rnacentral:rRNA from 1 species
GAUGAACGCUAGCGGGAGGCCUAACACAUGAAGCCGAGCGGUAUAAUUCUUUCGGGAAUUAGAGAGCGGCGCACGGGUGCGGAACACGUGUGGAACCUGCCUUUAUCUGGGGGAUAGCCUUCCGAAAGGGAGAUUAAUACCCCAUAAUAUAUUGACUGGCAUCAGUUAAUAUUGAAAACUCCGGUGGAUAGAGAGGGGCACGCGCAAGAUUAGAUAGCUGGUGAGGUAACGGCUCACCAAGUCAGUGAUCUUUAGGGGGCCUGAGAGGGUGAUCCCCCACACUGGUACUGAGACACGGACCAGACUCCUACGGGAGGCAGCAGUGAGGAAUAUUGGACAAUGGGUGAGAGCCUGAUCCAGCCAUCCCGCGUGAAGGACGACGGCCCUAUGGGUUGUAAACUUCUUUUGUACAGGGAUAAACCUAGAUACGUGUAUCUAGCUGAAGGUACUGUACGAAUAAGCACCGGCUAACUCCGUGCCAGCCGCCGCAGUAACAC